rnacentral:misc_RNA from 1 species
UCUCCGUUGGUGAACCAGCGGAGGGAUCAUUAUAGAGUUUUAUAACUCCCAACCCUUUGUGAAUCGUACUCGUUGCUUCGGGGGCGACCCUGCCGUCCGCGGCUGAGCGCCCCCGGGGUCAAUCAAACACUGCAUUCUCUGCGUCGGAGUAUUAGUAAAUCUAAUCAAAACUUUCAACAACGGAUCUCUUGGUUCUGGCAUCGAUGAAGAACGCAGC